rnacentral:rRNA from 1 species
GACGAACGCUGGCGGCGUGCUUAACACAUGCAAGUCGAACGGAAAGGCCCGGCUUUGGGGGGGUGCUGGAGGGGCGAACGGGGGAGUAACACGUGAGUAACCUGUCCCUGACUGUGGGAUAACUUCAGGAAACUGGGGGUAAUAGCGGCUAGGAUCUCCUGCCGCAGGGUGGGGGUGGGAAAGUUUAGGUGGUUGGGGAUGGACUCGCGGCUUAUCAGCUUGUUGGUGGGGUAGUGGCUUACCAAGGCCUUGACGGGUAGCCGGGCUGGGCGGGGGACCGGCCCCACUGCGCUUGAGCUAAGGCACAGACUAGUAUGCGACGCAGGGGAGGAGAAUAUUACACUAUGCGCGGGAGCAUGGUGCAGCCAAGCCGCGUCCGGGAUGAGAGGCAUGGCGUUGUAAUCCGAAUCCGCUUGUGCCGAGGCGUGAGUGACGGUACUGGGUAAAGAAGCACCGGCUAACUCCGUG